GUUGCAUGUGGAGUAGUAAGCUUUUGUGUGUAACCAUCCACCUACUUUGUUUUGUUCCAAGUUGAUUAUGUAAAGACUGUUACAGUUCAUUAUGUCUGACAAAAAAACUGUAUUUAAUCAGCUGUGGCUGAACCCAGCUCUGUUUCCAGAUUUUUCAGCAUGGGUGCGUCCUGUAGAUGGGCAUAAUACUCAAGCAUUUUGUAGUGUAUUUAAAAAGACUUUGAAUUUGAGCAAUAUGGGAAAGCAGGCAUUAGUUUCUCAUGGGAAAGGACCAACCCAUUUGAAAAUGGUGGGAGGUGCAACAUGUCAGACUUCUUUGUCUUCUUUUUUCAUAAAGAUGCCAGGUAAUAUUGCAAGUUGUUCUGGAUCAACAGCGAUUUCAGGCGUUAACCUAGACAAGGGACAGAGUAGUGAUUCUUCUUGCUCAAAUAGUGUCUUCACGUCACAAUGCACUCAGCUUCAGAUAAACACGGUCACUAGUCUACAGAAUGUAGUGCCUCAAAGAAAUCUCAACAGUUACGUUUUAAAAGAAGAUGCAAUGAAAGCAGAGAUUAUUUGGAGUCUGCAGGUUGUGUGCAAGAAAAUGUCUUUUAAUUCUUGCAGUAACAUAAGUACUGUAUUUAAAAUGAUGUUUCCCGAUAGUGCAGUUGCCAAUGCAUUUACUUUAGGAGGAGAUAAAGUUUCCUAUGUUCUUGUUCACGGGCUAGCACCGUACUUCCAGCAGAAUAUGCUAGAUCGCCUGAAGUUGUGCGACAAUAUUGUAUUAUGUUUUGAUCAAGCAUUGAACAAAGUAAUUCAGCGAGGACAAAUGGACAUAGUAAUUAGGUUUUGGGAUGAAGAAAAGCAAAUGGUUAUUACCAGAUACUUGAACAGUGUGUUUCUUGAUAGAAGCACAGCUGAACAUUUGCUUAGGAAUUUUUUGGAUGGAAUUGCUCCUUUGUCACCUUCCAAAAUAAUACAGGUGUCUAUGGAUGGCCCCAACGUCAAUUUAAAAUUUUUUAAAUGUCUCCAAGAACACAUCAGAUCCACCACAAGCAAUGAAACUUUCACAUUACUGAAUCUGGGAACGUGUAGUUUGCAUGUGGUUCAUGGUGCUUUGAAAACUGGCAUUGAAUCUGUUGGAUGGGACAUUAGUACCUUGUUGCUACACUUAUAUUUUCUUUUCCAUGAUUCUCCAGCUCGACGAGCAUUAUUUACAGAGCUGACGGGAUGAACAAUAUUUCCUUUGAAGUUCUGUAAUGUACGUUGGCUAGACAAUGCCAAGUGCCUUAAAAGAGUGUUAGAGAUAUGGGAUCAUGUUGCAAAAUUUGUUAAUGUAGCCAAGCUUCCGAAGACAAAAGUUGCAAAAACCUUGAUUGAAGCCGUUCGUGAUCCAUUUGUAAAGUGUAAAUUGGCAUUCUGCAAGACAAUUGCAGAUGAGUGUGAGCCCUUUUUAAGAAGUUUCAAACUUCAAAACCCAUGAGUCCAUUUAUUUUUGAAGCAGUGCAGAAACUUCUGAGAGAAAUUAUGAACCGCUGUGUAAAGCCUGACGUGAUGAAGUUUACUAGCACAAAUCUGCUCUCUGUUGAUGUAAAAAAAUCAGACAAUUUGAUCCUAAGCAAUAAAGUUGAUGUUGGAUUUGCAGCAAAAUGCUUUCUUGCAGAAGUAUCAACCUCUGUAAAGGAAAGAGAAAAGCUUGAGUUUAUGCAUGAAUGUCGGGGUAUGUUGACAGCCAUGACUGCCAAACUUCAAGAAAGAUGUCCUUUUAAGUACAAAGCAGUUAGAGGAUUGUCUUCUCUAGAUCCCUCGAUUAUUCAACACUCACCUUCGCUUGGUCAGAAAAGGUUUUCUUUUCUUUUAGAUGAGCUACUUGCUUCAAGCAAAAUAUAUGAUGAAGUUGCAGAAAAGGCUAAAAAAAUAAUACUGUAACUUGUGUGAUAUGAAGAAAACUGUACUUAGUGAAAUGUUUCAAGAAUACUGCAAAAAUAAUGAGGAGGCAAGACUCGAUAGUACCUAUGGAAACUUCAUGAGAGGAAGUGAAGUGUACAAAAACCUGUGGGAAGUUAUUAAGAUAUGUCUUGUGCUCUCCCAUGGUAAUGCAACUGUGGAAGGGGGUUUUUCAAUUAAUAAGUCACUAUUAAUUGAAAACAUGCUAGAAAAGACAGUGAUAGCACAAUGCCAUAUUCAAGAUGAAGUGCAACAGGCAGGAGGGAUUGAGAAUGUGAAAAUAGAUAAAAGGAUGUUAGAUUAUGUGAAAAGUGCUCGAAAACGAUAUCAAGAUUAUUUGGAACUUAGAAAACAGAAAACAAGUGAGGAAACAACAAGAAAGGGAGAAAAGAGAUAAUUAGAAAAACAAGUGAAAGAGUUAGUAGAAGAAAGAAAAAAAGGAAGCAAUGGAAAGGGAAUUAAAAGAACUUGAAAAAAAAAAGAGCUUUGCUGCAUCUAGUAUUUCAAAUUUUUUGAAUUUAUUUGUUACAUGUUAACAUUUUGUUUUGUAAUUGAAUUACAUAUUUAUUGAAUCACAGUGUCUUGAAUUUUUUAAUAUUCAUGUCAAAAAUGGAAGUUUUAGUAAAGUUUGUGUCUGCUUUCUGAUAUUUAUAUUUAAGGUGUGGUACGGUUAGCUGAAGGAAAGGAGGAGGCCAAUAUAAUUAGGGCACAGUUAAAACAUCAAUAUUUUUUGUAAAACUGAAUUUUUUUUUCUUCGUAAUUGGUCAGGGAAGUUUCAAUGAAUGGUCAGGGAAAAGUCAGGGAAAUAAAUUUGACUCAGGCUGUAGGAACCCUGUACUGAGUACAAUGCAUUUACAUUUAAAUAUUUUAUUAAUACAGUACACUCCCUAUUUAACGCGGUUGUCGGGGGACAUAACUUUUACCCGCGUUGUUGCAUAACCGCGAUGUUUCGAUGUGACCAAGGUCAAAACACCGCCUGUGUUCUAAUAGGUCGGCAAGCACGCACAGAAUAGACGGCCCGCCAUUGUGCGAACUUUGCAUCCGCAGUUUUCACUAAACGCGGGUGAAAAAAAAAUAAUAAAUUUUAAAGAUAAAUAUUAAAUGUUGAAUUUUAUUUUUUAUUUUUCCGCACGCCGCGCACAGUUUGUCGCACGGCCUACGAGCGCGCCACACGCCGCCAUACACACGUGCGGCACACAAGCUGCUGCCAGUCUCGUGGUGUCAGCCACAGUAUCUGCUUCGUCUGAGUGUCCGUAACAAAGUAAGUGCAGUGUGUGCGGUUACACACGAUUCUGUGGUCAAAGUCUUCUAAAUAGAAAGGCCAUAGUAAUACUUCAAACCGAAUAUGAAUCGCAAAGUACCGAGUUUGAUUGACAAAAUAAAAAUUCUAGAUUUACGUACUUACAGAUAGCGUGUCUUUUGCAGAAGUAUGCAGCAGAUACGUGAAAAACGAUUCUAGCAUUCGUACAAUAUAAAAUAAAGAAUCGUCUAUCGUGUAAAGUGGUUAGUUAAACUUUGUUAUCCAUGCUUACAGUAAAUUAUAAAUGGUCACAUGUGGGAUACAAAAAUUGCGCCAAAAUAAUUUUAGCGCAAUAAGUGGCGCCGUAUUAAAAAGUCUGUUAAACGUUGUCUUUACUUAUUCCAUCAAACGCUGUGUCGAGUUGCUGAGUGUGUGUGGCUCGGAUCGGCAAGUGUUAUAUUCCCCAGCCUCUGGUUAAAGGUCGGGAGGCCGCUACACAUAAACAUUUCCGGGGCUUGUUUACUACCUCACGGCAAAAGUGGUACAGUAUGGUUCACGUAAGUAUUGGACCACUGGGAAUUCCUCGGCAAAGAUUAAAAAUACGCUAGCUGAUUUACUUUACUAUUUAAUGUUAAAACAUUAUACAAAAGUAAAAAGAUGAACGUGUAUAAUACAACGAAUAAUAUUACGUCUGUAGGUUCAAGUUGUAACAAAACAUUUAUAUGUCUCCGCUUGUCAACACACGUGACCACGAGAAGUGUGCAGACGGAAAUGAGUGAACUACUCAAGGUCACCAGACUUCCCCCCUUUCGUCUUAAUCGCCCCUCUCAUCACUGGCGCUUAUAUUCCACUCCUCCCGUCUACCCGGGUGUCUUGGUCGCAUAUUCUCGGCUCGCCUCUCCCCUCCCAGCGCUGGCCGUCAACCAAACCUAUCCAAAAUCAAUCCCCAGCCGAGUCACGCUGGAUGAUGUCGCUAGACGGUGGGCUUUAUCGGGUCCCCUGUCCGAUGCUUUAUUUGUGGGUUAAAAAAAAUGUUAAGAACUAGUGUUUCAGAAAAUAACACUGGACUGGAUUGGACCAUAAUUUGAAAACACUACAAGAUAGAGGAAUAAUGUACGGAGAUAUCUUGUUUAGAAUUUCACUGCGGACAUUUUCUACGCCUAGGCUUUUUUCUGCCCGAUGCUUAGUUUGUGAGUUACAACGCAAAAUUAUCCUAAUCGGCUGUCAACCAUUUAUUCCAUUAUUAUUACAGUAGAAACUCGUUAAUCCGUGACGCGCUAAUUCGAGAACCGGAUAAUCCGGGACGAUUUAAAAGUGCAUAAAAAAAAGAGAAGUAAAAAUUGUCAGCGCUUAAAAUUAACGUCACGCGGGCCGGCGGCCGGCAAACACUGCAAGCCUUCGCGUGGGCCGCCAAACUCUGCAACGCUGUUUGUACCGACCCUUUGUGUCGUCCCCCUUUCACCUGUCACAUUUGUCACUCUUUAAACUUGAGGGGGAUGUCUUGACUUCUGCUUCCCGUCUCCCUUUGUUUGUUUCCACCCGCCAACGCACGGCAGGCGCCUGGCGAGUGACGUGUCUGGCUGGCAUUCGGCUGGACGAUGGUGGAGAGGGGGGGUGCAAGCUCCCAAGGUCCAGCCAGCAGUGGCGAGAGUGAG